AUUGAACGCUGGCGGCAUGCCUUACACGUGCAAGUCGAACGGCAGCACGGGUGCUCGCACCUGGUGGCGAGUGGCGAACGGGUGAGUAAUACAUCGGAACGUACCUUAUCGUGGGGGAUAACGCAGCGAAAGCUGUGCUAAUACCGCAUACGCCCUGAGGGGGAAAGCGGGGGAUCGCAAGACCUCGCGUGAUUAGAGCGGCCGAUGCCUGAUUAGCUUGUUGGUGGGGUAAAAGCCCACCAAGGCGACGAUCAGUAGCUGGUCUGAGAGGACGAUCAGCCACACUGGGACUGAGACACGGCCCAGACUCCUACGGGAGGCAGCAGUGGGGAAUUUUGGACGAUGGGGGCAACCCUGAUCCAGCAAUGCCGCGUGAGUGAAGAAGGCCUUCGGGUUGUAAAGCUCUUUUGUCAGGGAAGAAACACCGGCUCUAACACAGUCCGGGAAUGACGGUACCUGAAGAAUAAGCACCGGCUAACUACGUGCCAGCAGCCGCCGUAA
rnacentral:rRNA from 1 species